rnacentral:rRNA from 1 species
UGGGGAAUUUUGGACAAUGGGCGCAAGCCUGAUCCAGCAAUGCCGCGUGCAGGAUGAAGGCCUUCGGGUUGUAAACUGCUUUUGUACGGAACGAAACGGCGAGCUCUAAUACAGUUUGCUAAUGACGGUACCGUAAGAAUAAGCACCGGCUAACUACGUGCCAGCAGCCGCGGUAAUACGUAGGGUGCAAGCGUUAAUCGGAAUUACUGGGCGUAAAGCGUGCGCAGGCGGUUAUGUAAGACAGAUGUGAAAUCCCCGGGCUUAACCUGGGAACUGCAUUUGUGACUGCAUAGCUAGAGUACGGUAGAGGGGGAUGGAAUUCCGCGUGUAGCAGUGAAAUGCGUAGAUAUGCGGAGGAACACCGAUGGCGAAGGCAAUCCCCUGGACCUGUACUGACGCUCACGCACGAAAGCGUGGGGAGCAAACA